rnacentral:rRNA from 1 species
AAUCCCGCGUAAUUUAGGCAUAUUAGUAAGCGGAGGAAAAGAAACUAACAAGGAUUCCUCGAGUAACGGCGAGCGAAAGAGGAUUAGCCCAGCGCGCAGUCCCCGGGUCCCUGCGGCCCGCGGGAGAUUCCGCGUUUGGGAGGGUCGUCUCUCUCGGUUGCGGCGGCCGGUCCAAGUCCCUCUUGAAUGGGGCCACGGCCCUGAGAAGGUGCCAGGCCUGUGGGAUGGUUGCCGCUUCCGGGAAGACCUCUCCCUAGAGUCGGGUUGCUUGAGAGUGCAGCCCUAAGCUGGUGGUAAACUCCAUCAAAGGCUAAAUAUAACCACGUGACCGAUAGCAAACAAGUACCGUGAGGGAAAGUUGAAAAGAACUUUGAAGAGAGAGUUCAAGAGUACGUGAAACCGUUCGGGGGUAAACGGGUGGAGCCCUAAGUGCCGAGCGGAGAGACUCAGUUCGGCCCCCGCGGCCGGCGUAGUGCGCGCUCCUUGCGUCGAGCCGUCCUCGUGGCGGACGGCGUAGGGAGCGCGUGUUGCGUCCGCGUCGCGGUCCGAGCGCAUUUCUCUCCUAGUAGGGCGUCGCGACCCGCUGGGUGUCGGCUGACGGCCUGGGGAUUAGUCCGGCUCGCUUUGGCGGGCCGGUCCCCCGGUGUCCCGGUCGAUUGCCCGGCGGUGGUGCACGAUAAGCUGGCCCGCGAGACGCUCCGCGUCACACGCCAUCAACCCGGGCGAGCGUUUCGCCGGUGUCCGCGCUCGGGCUUGCCCGACGCGGCCCGUUGAGCGCUGUCGGCCUGGGAAGUGCUCUGGCGGGGUCAACGUCUUCGUCUGCGACGUUAGCAAGUGGGCGGCCCACCCGGCCCGUCUUGAAACACGGACCAAGGAGUCCAGCAUGCGCGCGAGUCGUCGGGAAAGCACUAGAACCCGAAGGCGUAUUGAACGAAAAGGCACGCUUCGGUGGGCCGAGGGGUGAUGGCGGUUUCGGCCGCCCGCAACCCCGGGGCGUCUCGAUCUACCGUAGCUUGUCUGCGGAAGGCGAGGCGCACCUAGAGCGCGCACGCUGGGACCCGAAAGAUGGUGAACUAUGCCUGGUCAGGACGAAGUCAGGGGAAACCCUGAUGGAGGUCCGUAGCGAUUCUGACGUGCAAAUCGAUCGUAAGAGCUGGGUAUAGGGGCGAAAGACUAAUCGAACCAUCUAGUAGCUGGUUCCCUCCGAAGUUUCCCUCAGGAUAGCUGGCGCCCGUUGAACCGAGUCCCAUCCGGUAAAGCGAAUGAUUAGAGGCCUUGGGGUCGAAACGACCUCAACCUAUUCUCAAACUUUAAAUGGGUGGGAUCCGCGGCUUUUUUGAACGUGAAGCCGCGGUCCGGAUCAGGGUGCCAAGUGGGCCACUUUUGGUAAGCAGAACUGGCGCUGUGGGAUGAACCAAACGCCCGGUUAAGGCGCCCGAAGCGACGCUCAUUGGAAACCAUGAAAGGUGUUGGUUGCUUAAGACAGCAGGACGGUGGCCAUGGAAGUCGGAAUCCGCUAAGGAGUGUGUAACAACUCACCUGCCGAAGCAACUAGCCCUGAAAAUGGAUGGCGCUGAAGCGUCGUGCCUAUACCGGGCCGUCGGGGCAGAAGGCGGGGGCAACUCCGCUGCGAAGCCCCGACGAGUAGGAGGGUCGCGACGGUGAGCGCAGAAGGGUCUGGGCGCGAGCCCGCCUGGAGCCGCCGUCGGUGCAGAUCUUGGUGGUAGUAGCAAAUACUCCAGCGAGGCCCUGGAGGACUGAUGUGGAGAAGGGUUCCGUGUGAACAGCCGUUGCACACGGGUCAGUCGAUCCUAAGCCCUAGGAGAAAUCCGAAAAUGGAUAGCGGGAUGUCUUAGCGAAAGCUUCGGUAGGCCCCGUCCGUUGGGCGAAAGGGAAUCUGUUCCUAUUCCAGAACCCGGUUGCGGAACCGCACUCACGAUCCUCGUAUUGACACGGUAACGUGAAUGACCCCAGAGAUGCCGUCUGGAGCCCCGGGAAGAGUUUUCUUUUCUGUUUGAGCGUUCGGGUUCCAUGGAAUCCUCUAGCAGGGAGAUAUGGAAUGGAGCGCGAAGAGCACCGCAGUUGCUGCGGUGUCCGGGGAGUCCCGUCGGCCCUUGAAAAUCUGGGUGAGGAUCACGUGGAGUCGCCGCACCGGCUCGUACCCAUAUCCGCAGCAGGUCUCCAAGGUCAAGAGCCUCUAGUCGAUAGAAU